rnacentral:rRNA from 1 species
UACGUAGGGGGCGAGCGUUGUCCGGAAUUACUGGGCGUAAAGGGUGCGUAGGCGGCCCUUUAAGUCGGAUGUGAAAGCCCGCGGCUUAACCGCGGAAUGGCAUUCGAAACUGGAGGGCUUGAGUGCAGCAGAGGGAAGCGGAAUUCCACGUGUAGCGGUGAAAUGCGUAGAGAUGUGGAGGAACACCAGUGGCGAAGGCGGCUUCCUGGCCCAAUACUGACACUCAUGUGCGACAGCGUGGGGAGCAAACAGG